rnacentral:lncRNA from 1 species
AAUCAUUCCGGCAGCUGAACGUGGGCUGUGAGUUCAGGCAGCAGCUCGCCGGGCUGCAGGUGGCAGCAGCGCACCAGUUUUGCUCCCCCCGGCCCCUGGCUGCUGGGGGGUUCAGACACCCCUGCGGAUGAUGCUGUUGGAAGUUUUGGUUGGUUACAGGCCACGUCUGGCUGCUCCCAUCGUCUGUUCAUUAUUGCUUACUGCUGCAGAACCCUCAAAAACGGAAAACAGGCAACUCAGAUUAUACUUUAUCUUAAAAGAUUUUGCUGAUCUCUACCACGAAUUCAUCAGGACUAAUGAGACAGAUAAGUAAAGGAUUUUGUUAUUACAUGCCAACUCCAUAAAGAUACUCUGGGGUAAGCGGAGAGGUGGUACAAUCUUUGUGUGUGAGUGAUGGGAAAGAGCUACCUGGUUACAAAUUCUGGUCCCACUGAAGUCGGCAGGGGUUCUGCCAUUUGCCUUCAACAAAGCAAAGGGUUUCACCAUGUGUUUAACAGGAAUAUUUUGCUGGAGUUGUUGUCAGCAUACUAGUAAACAUACAUUUUAAAAUUGACCAUCUUUUUCGCAUUUGAAUGUUUGUUCACCUUGCAUAUCCUUGAUGAAUAUUUGAUACAAAAAAUUCUCUUCGAUUUCAUUUUAUUUCAGGUAGGUUUUGAGUUUGUUCAUUUUUUUACUUCUUGUGCAUUUAGAGACCCCACGUGGCAGUGUCUGGGCUAAAAACACAGUAGGGGAAUGUUCACAUAUUUUGUAUUGCUGAGAUUUAAACUGAAUUAAAGAAAAACAGAAAUGAAAACAUUUGCAUUUGUUUAUGUAAUUUUAAAAAAUCACAUAAAGCUGGGCCCGAGCUAGCCGAGAAUAUCCCUGUAAUGAACACAGGCCUUUACCUUUUUGCAAGCACACUGUAACUGGAGAGGCGCACAUAUCAUAUCUACCAUAUCAACG